AUGUCUGCAAGGGACGUGGAAGAUGCAAUAAGCAUCCUUGCAGACCAAGAAUGGUGGAAAGGAUCAAUAAUGGUCUUACAGAAAUAUACAAAUCCAUUCCAGUCAAACUCGGCCCAUAUGCCUGCACUGAAAUCAGCUAACAUAAAUUUUUUAAGCUGCAGCAGCCCAUCAGCUUACUUCAUAUGUCCCGGGCUGAUCAGUUGCAGGCACA